CCGGCGCACGGGUGAGUAACGCGUAUGUAAUCUACCUGUAACAGAGGGAUAACCCGGAGAAAUCCGGACUAAUACCUCAUAGCACAUAUUAUUCGCAUGAAUUUUAUGUUAAAGAGACUCGGUUACAGAUGAACAUGCGUUCCAUUAGCUAGUUGGCGGGGUUACGGCCCACCAAGGCAACGAUGGAUAGGGGUUCUGAGAGGAAGGUCCCUCACACUGGUACUGAGACACGGACCAG
rnacentral:rRNA from 1 species